rnacentral:rRNA from 1 species
CCUACGGGAGGCAGCAGUGGGGAAUCUUGCGCAAUGGGCGAAAGCCUGACGCAGCAACGCCGCGUGCGGGAAGAAGGCUUUCGGGCUGUAAACCGCUUUCAGCAGGAACGAAAAUGACGGUACCUGCAGAAGAAGGAGCGGCCAACUAUGUGCCAGCAGCCGCGGUGAUACAUAGGCUUCAAGCGUUGUCCGGAUUUAUUGGGCGUAAAGAGUUCGUAGGCGGUCGAGUAAGUCGGGUGUGAAAAUUCUGGGCUCAACCCAGAGACGCCACCCGGUACUGCUUGACUUGAGUUCGAUAGGGGAGUGGGGAAUUCCUAGUGUAGCGGUGAAAUGCGCAGAUAUUAGGAGGAACACCGGUGGCGAAGGCGCCACUCUGGAUCGAUACUGACGCUGAGGAACGAAAGCAUGGGUAGCAAACAGGAUUAGAUACCCUGGUAGUCCAUGCCGUAAACGGUAGGCACUAGGUGUGGGAUUCUAUUAACGAAUUCCGCGCCGUCGCUAACGCAUUAAGUGCCCCGCCUGGGGAGUACGGUCGCAAGACUAAAACUCAAAAGGAAUUGACGG